GUCCAGACUCCUACGGGAGGCAGCAGUGGGGAAUAUUGCACAAUGGGGGAAACCCUGAUGCAGCGACGCCGCGUGAGCGAUGAAGUAUUUCGGUAUGUAAAGCUCUAUCAGCAGGGAAGAAAAUGACGGUACCUGACUAAGAAGCCCCGGCUAACUACGUGCCAGCAGCCGCGGUAAUACGUAGGGGGCAAGCGUUAUCCGGAUUUACUGGGUGUAAAGGGAGCGUAGACGGCUGUGCAAGCCAGAUGUGAAAGCCCGGGGCUCAACCCCGGGACUGCAUUUGGAACUGUGUGGCUGGAGUGUCGGAGAGGCAGGCGGAAUUCCUAGUGUAGCGGUGAAAUGCGUAGAUAUUAGGAGGAACACCAGUGGCGAAGGCGGCCUGCUGGACGAUGACUGACGUUGAGGCUCGAAAGCGUGGGGAGCAAACAGGAUUAGAUACCCGAGUAGAC
rnacentral:rRNA from 1 species